CACGGGGGGAGCAAGCGUUGUUCGGAAUCACUGGGCGUAAAGGGCGUGUAGGCGGUUGUGUAAGUGGGAUGUGAAAUGCCUCGGCUUACCCGGGGACCUGCAUCCCAUACUGCAUGACUUGAGUACGGGAGAGGAUGAGGGAAUUCCUGGUGUAGCGGUGAAAUGCGUAGAUAUCUGGAGGAACACCGGUGGCGAAGGCGGCAUCCUGGACCGACACUGACGCUGAGGAGCGAAAGCCAGGGGAGCAAACGGG
rnacentral:rRNA from 1 species